ACCCAGCUGACGAGUCUCAAAUAGGACGAAACGUGCAUCCUGGAU
rnacentral:hammerhead_ribozyme from 1 species